UUUUCGAUCUUGGCCAAGCUUGACAAGGCCUAUGAAUUUGAAGUUAAAAUAUAGAAGGGUAGAUGAUUGAACAACUGUGAUGUUUUGAUGUAAUGACAAGAAAACCUUAAAAAGCAGAAGACUGGAAUCAGGUUCAAAAUAACAAGGAUUAGAACAAACUUUGCAGUUAAGGAACUAAAAUACUAUAAGAAUAUGGUAUAUAAGCUAAGAUACUACAUUAGUGUAUUCCUCAGUGGAAUGUCUCAUAAAUGAACCAAAAUAAAGUUGGUUGGUUUAUGGAAAGCAGUUUAUUCUUUUUCAUUUUUCAAAUAAGGACUACUUAGCAUUGCUUUUUCUUUCUACAAAACCCCUAUUCUAGGUGAAAUUUAUUCCAAAACAAUGAACUAAAAUGGUUAACAAAUAACCCACUUCUAUCACAAUUUGCAGGGUUUUCUUCUAUCAAUUUCCCAUUGUUGACUCUGACCAAUGAAUUGCUCGUCAAAUUCUUGCAUUUCUCAAAGUUUUAAAUCGCAAAUUUGGUAAUGAAUGAACUGAUAUGGACUGAAAAACUGACGAUGUCUUUAAUUUCUUAUUUCUUCAACAAUGCAAGUUCCUUUCCUUUCUACAAAGCCCGUUUACAACCAAAAUUCAGUCCAAACCUUCAAAUUUAAAGGAGUAAACAAAACACCCAUUUUCUAAAAGGAAAUCAAUUGCCAUUUUCUAAGGUUUCGAGGCAACUCGGACAAAUGUGGGCCAAAACUUAUCUGCUGUGUUCAGCAAAAGCUGUCCGUUCCAAUUGCGUCCCAUCAUGCAAUCAGGGCCGUCUGGCCCACACUGUUUCAUAGGAUCCUUGGUCCUAUAAGAGAAAGAUGUUCCCCUCUAAGAUUUCUCAAGGUUGGGUUCUCUUGUCAUUUUAAAAAAAGCUUUGGGGUGGUCUCAUUAAAUCUUUUCCCUUAUAUUAAUCUCCCAAACCCUCAAGGCACUUGCCAAUUAUUUAUUGAUUAUGCUUGUCUAAUUCGGUUUUCAGCACACUCUAUUUUUGUCUCUGCAAUUUCCAAGACUAAUUCGGUUCUAAACUAAGCACCCAACCCACCUUUUGCCCUGCUUAUGUUCCCGAGUUCCCUUGGGCCUGUCUCUAACGUCAUUAAACAAAAGUUCAGAUGUCUCUUUCUUUCUCUCAACAGCACUUUUAGAUGUCACUUUCCCUCUCUAACCGCAUGCCUUCUGAUUAGGAAAACAAGAUAAAAAAGAACCGAGAUUCCUUCUUGUUUUUGUUGUUAUUUAAGCUUGGUUUUAGAAAAGGAUGAACAUGCCUUGGUGUCGUGUUGGGAAAUUCUCUAUUUAUGGAGCCCAAGAAAGAUGGGGCUUGGGCAAAUCUAACGGGCACCAAGUUUGAAAUGCAGAGGGCUAAAAAAAACUGACCAUGAACUUGACUCCAAAGUAGUAAUGUUUAAUGGACAAGAUGUGGUUUUUUUGCUUAUGUCGAUACACUAUGGGCAGUGAUAGUCAUGUCUUAUAUUUUAGAAACUUAGACAUCUUGUUGGAAUCCUUUUAUAUUGAAAUCGUGCUAUAAAAGUACUUAAUGUCACCUAAAAUCUCACUUCGCCUUUUUUUUUGAAAUGUUGUAUAGAUGUGUCGUGUCUGAAAGGUCAAUUUUGAAAUUGACGUUUCUGACACUUGUUUCUGUGUUAGAUAUUUACAUUUGUAUCCAUUUUUAGGAAACACAUUUUUAUAGUUGUGUCACAAAGAUAUGAAUAUAAGUGCGUAUUUGACACGGAUACAAGCGUUCAAAACGUCAAUAUUAAAAUUGAUUUUUCAAACGCAACAUGUCUCUACAACAUUUAGAUAAAUGAGGAGGUGGUGUUUUAGGUGUCAUUAAAGUACUUUUAUGGCAGAUCUCAUCAGAAAAGUUAACAAGAAGUGUCUAAGUUUUUUUUAGGAAGUGUUAGAUAUGAGUGUCAUAUCCUUGUCGAUAUUUGCUAAAAACUAUUGACGCAUAUGCCUACAUUAUAAAGAAAUGUCGAUGUGUUAAAUAUUUGACACAUAAUUGUUAGAGAUGUCAAUAUUAAAAUUAGCCUUCCAAACACAUGUUUGCAUAUUUGUAUUAGUUAAAAUUAAAGUCCUUUUAUAAUAGUUCUUCAAGAGUAAAGUUUAACCAAAAACUGACUGGAUUUACCAAGUCCACGGCAUUUCUUUAGUGUGUCUACAAUGACUACGAAAGUAAUAGGAGUAUCCGUGGACAAAAAAGAUCUCUAUGGCUAUUGAGAAAGAAUCAAAUCAGAUAGUUCUAUUUCUCAAUGUUUCUAUAGUUCUAUUUCUCAAUCUUUCUGACUUGUGCUCCUAUGGAACGUGAGCCAAAAAUAUUGAAAAAAAAUUCAGUCAUUCAUUCUUUAAAACCAGUAUCCAUGUUAUGUGAUUUUACAAUAUCGCAUAUGUGAAAUUUAAACCUAAUAUUUCUUGAGCUUGUGUGAACUGGACAAGAUUAUUGGUGACAGGACAGUUUGGUGGAAAACUCAACUGAAUUUAAGACAAACAAAUCGCCCAGAUCUAAGAAAACUCUCUCUCUCUCUCCCUUGUGCAUGACCUUGAAGUUUCUCACACUACCCCCUCUCUCUCGAAGAAACGGCCAACUGAGUGAAAUAUUAAUGCGGAAGGCCUCAAAAGAAUACGGUGUGUCGUUUAUGUUUGUUUGUGGGUGAAUGACAAAUGAACAUUUCUUAAAAUACUCUCUGCAUGGCAAUGAAAGCAUUUUUUUAAGAAACCAUCUCUCUAUAACUUCCUCUAUUUCUCUCUUUUUUCCAUGCAUCGAUGGUCCCGGCCAUGAGGGGAGUUUCCAUCUUUCCAAGACGGCGGCUGCAAAAUCCAACACCAAGAAAACCCUAAUUUAAAGGCACGCGUGACUUCAAGGUGUCUCAAGGCUUGGCAGCAUAGAAACCGGGUCCAUACCAAUACACCUCUAUGAAAGAAGGCACCAAAACGUGGUGAAAAGUUUGCAUGGUGAACCACCACAAACGUGUUAUCUGUGGAACGUUUAUAUUUGGAAUGAGUUUAUGGUGUAAGAGCAAACUAGCCAUUAAAAAAUAUUAGGAAAAAGUAUAUCAUUAAAUAUGGUAAUUAUAAAAAACGGAUAGGUGACCAGGAUCGUCCACCUCAGAAACCGAUUUGGAUCGGUAAAUCGGUGGUUCGGAUCGUCACUUUAAUGUCUAGAAAAAAUAGUGAACUGGUGAAAAAGUGUGUAAAAACAGUGAAUCGGUCAAGAAUUGGUUUGGAUAAGUAAUCAAUGUUUUUACUAUAGCAAAACGGUGUUUUCACUAUAGCAAAUUGCCGGUUCUCUUUUAGACCAAGACAGUUUUUGAUAUAUUGAUAGAAUUGGCACGUGGUGAUAGAUUCUUGGGUCGAAAAGGACGAUUUUGUGCCGACCUGACGAUUUUUAAAUCAUUGAUAAUUAUGGAUUGGUCCAAAUUUGUGGAAAAUAUAUGCAGUGGUAUACUAUUAUGAUGUUUGCACCA